GACGAACGCUGGCGGCGUGCUUAACACAUGCAAGUCGAACGGAAAGGCCCUGCUUUUGUGGGGUGCUCGAGUGGCGAACGGGUGAGUAACACGUGAGUAACCUGCCCUUGACUUUGGGAUAACUUCAGGAAACUGGGGCUAAUACCGGAUAGGAGCUCCUGCUGCAUGGUGGGGGUUGGAAAGUUUCGGCGGUUGGGGAUGGACUCGCGGCUUAUCAGCUUGUUGGUGGGGUAGUGGCUUACCAAGGCUUUGACGGGUAGCCGGCCUGGGAGGGUGACCGGCCACAUUGGGACUGAGAUACGGCCCAGACUCCUACGGGAGGCAGAAGUGGGGAAUAUUGCACAAUGGGCGGAAGCCCGAUGCAGCAACGCCGCGUGCGGGAUGACGGCCUUCGGGUUGUAAACCGCUUUCGCCUGUGACGAAGCGUGAGUGACGGUAAUGGGUAAAGAAGCACCGGCUAACUACGUG
rnacentral:rRNA from 1 species